CGUGUGCCUUCGGGUGGCCGCGGGUGUCGGGCUGUGUCCUGCCAGCCGGGGCCGUCGCUGCGUGGAGGCGGCGGGGCGGGGGGGGGGAGUCGGGCUGGGGGCCGCGCCGCGCCGCGCCGGGUCUGCGCGGCGCCGGGUCUGCCGGAGCGCGGCUCUGACUCUCCCUUUUGCGUGUGUCGCCUGUAGGGCCCCGGUUCCUCCCCAGCGCGGGCCGGGGCGUGCGCUCGCCCCUGCGGACGCAGCCUGGAGGAGUGUGUGUGGGGUGUCUGCGCGGGGGUCUGGAUGUCUCUAGCAGCGGCACGGCAGCCUGAUGCCUCCUGUCGUCUGGGACGCGGGGUCCUUGGGGAGUUCCCUGCUGCCUCCUCUGGCGUUCUCUGCGAGCUCAUAGUACCCUCCACCUCCUCUGCCCCCCCCCCCCCCGCCCCGCUCCCCUGUCUGGUGGGGUGGGAGACCGGUGGCUGCUCCCGCCGAGCUGAGAGCCACGUAGGGCACCCCUAUGUGCUCACUACGCAUCUGGGGUGGCACCCCUGCCCUGAGGGCCCCGCAGAGUCCCACCCUUCCUGCAACCAGCCCCCCCAGAGCCAUUAAACCACCCACAAGUCCUGCCCCAAUACCCCCACAGGCCCCAAAACGCCUCCGAGCCCUGCCGCAAUGUUGUCACUGACUCCAGACCUUCCCCUGCACUCUGUGCAAGGCCCCAAACAUUCCUCAAACUGCUGCCAGACCCAGUGCCCGCAGCAGUGAGGCGUUCUAACAAAGAUGGGGUGCGAUGUGCGUCUCCGCCUCGACUCAGUCCCGCUUUAGAGAAACAGGAAGUUACAGCACUUCCUGGUGAAGAGUGUUGACGGGUGAAUGUGCGGAUGACAAAGAGACUUUUCUCUCUUUUCUUCUGAGCCGCCUCUCAGAAGCCUCUGUGUGUGCACGAUGUGGCUGAUCUGGGAUAAUCGUGCUGUGCGCAGUGCUUAAGGAGAACAUUGCCCUAAAAUGGAGGGCUAAGGAAUAGCCUAAAAAACCUAAAAGGCUCGGGAAGAGCCAAAGAGAACACCGAUGGGCUCUGGGAAGCCCCAGUGAUGCUAGCGAAAACAGCGUGGCUUUUAGGCGCCUCCUCAGAGCAGCAGCAAUGUCUCGCUCCAGCCUAUGGGACAAUGGGGACUCUUAAUUACCGCCUUGAAUUACCACAAGUGUUGCAAAAGCAGAAGGGACUAGGGAGCAUGCAGAGCAGGUUAUGGACUAUAUGUCAAGUUUAAACAAGCAACAAGCCCCUCUGCAAACAGAAACAGGUUUAGCCCUAAGUAAUAGACGGAGGUAGCUGUGAGCAACGUGAAGCGAAGCGGUGACGUCAGUCACCCCGAAAGCCUCGGAGAAGCGGUCUGAAAAUCUGGUACCCUCGCGGCCUCGGCAGUCUUUUUGGUCUGUUUGGCAGGGUAGCCCACCGAAGGGGGACAUCUCGAAGAGAAGCAGCAAGACCUGGGGAUCCGGUGGUUCAUUUUGGUCGUCGCCUGUGAGGCCAGCAUGCAAGAGUAAGAGGAAGCUAGGAGCAGUCUCAAAAAGAGAUGGAACCAAGGACAGCAAAUGCUGACGAAGAGAAGAGACGGACGAGCGUUUGCUUGCGGCUAAUACCGAAGGGACGGGAUGAAACAAGGAAGCCAGAAUGCAGCGGCCCCUCGAUAUCACCAGGAACUGCUACAGCAGGAGGCGUUCUGGCACGGGUAACUAGGGUAAGUAUCGCUAAUGACCGUUAGCAGUUAUUUCGGCCUCCCCGAGGCAGCGCUGAGGACUGAGUAACCUGAGGGGCUCUGGCCUGGGUUAGGGCAGAAGUGCAGGCAGGCGGGAUCAGGCAUUUUCCUCUCAGCUCUCCAAGCUGAAUCCUAGCCCUGAAGGAAAAAGCACCGACGGACGGACGGACGGACAGACGCUGGUGCGGCGGUGACUCUUUGGAUAUCGUAGGUAAGGGGAGGCAUGCUGGUGCCGAGCUCCAGGGCGGUUUGCCUGAACACGAUGCCCGGGGCAGGAGGUUACGCAUUGUGUCCGGGGCUGGGAGCUGGUCCCCGAGUCCCAUGUACUUGGGAGUGCCUGCGCUUGCCAGGGAGCCCGGUGCUGUUCCCAGAGCUGCGGGGAAUUUCCCUUGCGUUGCCUGGACCCUCGGGGCUCUUGGGGGUGUUUCCCCUCAUCGCAAGGGCAGCCAGAGCCCCUCCAGGGCUGCGUGAGGUCCCCGAACCGCUCCCGGAUUUGCUUUUGGCACUCCGCAGUGUCGCUCGUGUGCCUGGGGCAGCCUGCAGGCGCCAUCCUGUCAGCCGCGUUGAGCCCUGCGGCGUGCCUGGUGACCCCUCUGGUGUGCGCCAAGGCCCUUCCUCUGUAUUUUGGUCUGCCCCAGAGCCCUGCACUUGCCCUCUGAUGCCCUCAGGACCCCUCAGUUCACAUUCUGGGUUGCCCCCGAGCCCUCUGCGUGCCUUUCGGUGCGCCCUGUGGCCCCGUGUGUGUUUUGCGGCACGCCGCAGAGGUCUCUGUGUAGCUUUUUCUCCUGUCCUGGAGUUUUCUGGGUGCUUCUGGGUGUGCCCCAGGGCCCUCCUUUUGGUGCCCCCAGAGUCACUCUGUUUGCUCUAUCGUUCUUUUUUUUUUUUUUUUUUUCUUGACUUGUGUUGCACCCAGAGCUCUCGAUUUGUUCUCUUGUGCUCCGCAUACUCCCCUUUCCGCACUCUACACCCCAGG